UUCAAUUUUUUACAAUAUUAAGAAUUUUAUCAAUAUUACUUAGCCACUGAGUGAAGUGUAUUCGUAGUUUACUUAUCGUGGGAACUGUUACAAAAGCGCGCAUUGGAGAGUGUUAAUAUAGUGGUUUAAACCAGUUGUUCAGUAAGUCAUCGUAUACAUGUUUGAGACUCAAGAUAAGACAUUAUUUCCUUACCUUACUGAAGCAUGCACCGGGCCAUCAGCAAGUGAAAAUACAUGAACAAUCGAUGAAAAUAAUGUCGCAAUCUUACAAAUUUACUCACUCUAGACCAUUCCAACAAACAACUGUAGCAAAAUUCGUGCAUGCAGGAAUUGGCCCGACAUUUGUUUUUGCACGUCCCCAAGCAGAUAGCACAGUGUGGGGGCGGGCUAGCGGUGUCAGCACGGGGGCUUGCCAGUUUACUGUCUGCCAUAUCACUAAAACUCGAUUUCACUGCAAAUGCACUCCGGAGAUGAAUGAAGUCAUGUUGAUUUAUCCACUAGUUCUGACCUUGCGAGUUUCGCGAUUUUCCUACGAUUAGACACACUAUCCACUCACGCAACAACAA